GAUGAACGCUGGCGGUAUGCUUAACACAUGCAAGUCGAACGGUACCUUCGGGUCUAGUGGCGGACGGGUGAGUAACGCGUGAGAAUCUAUCUUCAGGUCGGGGACAACAGUUAGAAAUGACUGCUAAUACCGGAUGUGCCGAAAGGUAAAAGAUUUAUUGCCUGAAAAAGAGCUCGCGUCAGAUUAGCUAGUAGGUGGUGUAAGAGACUACCUAGGCUUCGAUCUGUAGCUGGUCUGAGAGGACGAUCAGCCACACUGGAACUGAGACACGGUCCAGACUCCUACGGGAGGCAGCAGUGGGGAAUUUUCCGCAAUGGGCGAAAGCCUGACGGAGCAAUACCGCGUGAGGGACGAAGGCUCUUGGGUCGUAAACCUCUUUUCUCAAGGAAGAUUCAGACGGUACUUGAGGAAUAAGCAUCGGCUAACUCUGUG
rnacentral:rRNA from 1 species